rnacentral:rRNA from 1 species
UACGUAGGGUGCAAGCGUUGUCCGGAAUUAUUGGGCGUAAAGAGCUCGUAGGCGGUUUGUCGCGUCGAAUGUGAAAACCCGGGGCUCAACCCCGGGCCUGCAUUCGAUACGGGCAGACUAGAGUUCGGUAGGGGAGUCUGGAAUUCCAGGUGUAGCGGUGAAAUGCGUAGAUAUCUGGAGGAAUACCGGUGGCGAAGGCGGCAUCCUGGACCGACAUUGGACGUCUGAUGAGCGAAAGCUAGGGGAGCAAACGGG